CUCCUGUUACGUAUACUGAAGGUAUACCGGAAUGAAUGAAGCUCAGGAUACAUUCAGUAUACGUCCAGGGG
rfam:Daphnia pulex DAPPTscaffold_7_Cont471, whole genome shotgun sequence.